rnacentral:rRNA from 1 species
UACGUAGGGUGCAAGCGUUGUCCGGAAUUAUUGGGCGUAAAGAGCUCGUAGGCGGUCUGUCGCGUCGGCUGUGAAAUCCCGAGGCUCAACCUCGGGUCUGCAGUCGAUACGGGCAAACUAGAGUAUUGCAGGGGAGACUGGAAUUCCUGGUGUAGCGGUGAAAUGCGCAGAUAUCAGGAGGAACACCGGUGGCGAAGGCGGGUCUCUGGGCAGUAACUGACGCUGGAGGAGCGAAAGCGUGGGGAGCGAACAGG